rnacentral:rRNA from 1 species
GAGUUGGGCCUGCUCGGUGAAACGUUUUAACAGCUGCGGUAUUUUAACUGUACUAAGGUAGCAUAAUAAUUUGCCUUAUAAUUUGAGGCUAGAAUGAAUGGUUUGACGAAGGUUAAUCUGUCUCUGCUUUAUUUUUUAGAAAUUAAUUUUCAUAGUGAAAAAGCUUGAAUUUCUUAAGGGGACGAGAAGACCCUACUGAGCUUAUAAUUUUAUUAUCACAUAUAUUUAUGUAUAAUGUGCUAUAUAAAUUUUAAUUGGGGUGAUUAAGGAAUAAUAUAGCUAUUUUAUAACUUCCUUAGAUAUUAUAUUGUUGAAUUAAGUAACCGAUUAGUUAAUAGAAUUGUAUUAUGUAUUGCUUAUAAUAUAGUUACCAUAGGGAUAACAGCGUAAUUUACUUAGAGAGUUCUUAUUGAAAAGUAAGAUUGCGACCUCGAUGUUGGAUUAAAGUGACCUUAAGGUGCAGAAGCUUUAUGAGGUAAAUCUGUUCGAUUUUUAAAACUUU